GGCCCGGCCCGGCCGGGGCGGCUCGUCCGCGGGCUCCUCGCGGGAAGGAAAAGAGAAACCGCGGCGCCAUGCGAGCAGGCAGCGAGGAAGAACCGAGGGGCAGGCUGGAGCCUUAGUGCGGGACGGGGCAGGCGGCUGGGGCGGAGAGCGAGAAGGCAGGAAUCGGAAAGAGGGAGCCUGAGGGAAAAACGUGGUGGAAACGGACAAAGGAACUAGUGACAAAACACACAGCUCGAACUCAGAAGUGGAAAGAGAGCUGUGAUCUGCUAGAGCUCUGCAUAAAGUGAGAUGGGCUGUUCCUGUAGUUCUCUGAAGAACCUGUCUUCCAGAAAGGCAGAGGAGCUUCACACAGCAGAAGAUAUCUGGGCAACGUAAGUUGUGUUAAAGAAGAGAGCAAGAAAUGGGCAAUUGUAUUAUAGGGAACGACUUUAUUAAACAACUCGUGGAAAAAAUGUUUCUUCUAACUGCUUUCCCCUAGGUGGCACCAUGACCCGCAGAACAGAUCUUGUAGACUUCUGAAGUUCUAACUAUAGAUGUUUCAGCUGAGUGAUGCAAACAUUUUCAAACCCUGCUUGGUCACCGUUUUUUUUAACAACUUGUACCAUUUCUUUGGAGAAAACACUGUUGCCCUUCUAUGUCAGAAACACUAAUGAUUAGGACAUGCACAAUAAGUGAUUUUAGUAGUCGGAACUGUUAAUUAUUUGUAAAAUUAAAUAUCUACAUGAGAUAGAUUCAUAUUUAAUUCUUUUGCAUUAAAGGGAAGGAGGACACUGACACCUGUACAGUACAAUAGACUAUGGGACUACCCCUCCUCUCUUGGGUAAUAGAAAACUAUUGUUGUCUGUAUGGAGCUUCACAUUACUACAUACUUCAGUUCAUGUAAUAAAAGAAUGAUGCAAUUAUUGUCUCUGGAUGUGAUGAGAGCUAAUGAAAAUUUGUUACUAUGAGAAGUUUUUGCUGCUUCCUUCUCUCUGGAGCAUCAUUGUGAUUUCUUUAAUGAUUUUAAAAUAAAUCCAAAGCAUUUUGUUGAAAUUAAUACAGUGAGAUCAGAACUGUGCCCUAGAACUCUCUUGUAGACUGUAUCACAGCAUACCUGAACAUAAAGAUCAUGCUGUUCAUUUUUGUCACAUAAAAAUAUGAUCUAGAAAUGACAGUAAACAACAAAUAAUGAAAUAUCAAUAGUAAUGCUCUUAAUUCUAUAAUUUUCAAUGAAAUUUUAAUGCUUAUGUGGUUGUAAUCCUCUAUUCACUGUUAGGUGCAGA